CACGAUGCUGCCCACCUCGGAGAAGGUCCAGUACUCGGUGGGGAGGGUGGAGCACACCAGGACCCAGCCGCACAGACAGGACACGAAGCCGCCGAUCUCCAUGUACAUCACCACCUCCCGGUAGUUCAUGUGGUCCGCAACAAGAGUGCAGCCUGGGAUCUGAGCCCCGUGUCCUCCACAUCUUCCCAUUCAGCUAAAUAGAAGACAGAUGUUGGCAGAGGAUGACAAAUGGAGGCAAUAAUGCCGCAUGUGAAGAGCGGCUUGCACACCGACCACACGUAGAAGAAGCCGCCGGUGAAGUGGAAGGCGGAGCCAACCCAGCCGAGGAACAUCGGGGUGCCGAGGUCGUACCUGGCGUCGUGGAAACGGGA